GUGCUAUCUUCGGCAGCACAUAUACUAAAAUUGGAAUGUAGAAGAUUAGCAUGGCCCCUGCACAAAGAUGACAUGCUACAAUCGCAAAGCGUUCCACAAUAAA
rnacentral:snRNA from 1 species